rnacentral:rRNA from 1 species
AUUGAACGCUGGCGGCAGGCCUAACACAUGCAAGUCGAACGAGUGGCGGACGGGUGAGUAAUGUCUGGGAAACUGCCUGAUGGAGGGGGAUAACUACUGGAAACGGUAGCUAAUACCGCAUACCAUCAGAUGUGCCCAGAUGGGAUUAGCGAGUUGGUGGGGUAAGGGCUCACCAAGGCGACGAUCCCUAGCUGGUCUGAGAGGAUGACCAGCCACACUGGAACUGUGACACGGUCCAGACGCCUACGGGAGUCAGCAGUGGGGAAUAUUGCACAAUUGGCGCAAGCCGGAUGCGGCCGUGCCGCGUGUAUGGAGAAGGCCUUCGGGUUGUAAAGUACGUUCAGCGGGGUAGCGGUACCCGCAGAAGAAGCACCGGCUAACUCCGUGCCAGCAGCCGCGGUAAUUC